CGGCGUGCCUAAUACAUGCAAGUCGAGCGAGCGGAACCAACAGAUUUACUUCGGUAAUGACGUUGGGAAAGCGAGCGGCGGAUGGGUGAGUAACACGUGGGGAACCUGCCCCUAAGUCUGGGAUACCAUUUGGAAACAGGUGCUAAUACCGGAUAAUAAAGCAGAUCGCAUGAUCAGCUUUUGAAAGGCGGCGUAAGCUGUCGUUAAGGGAUGGCCCCGCGGUGCAUUAGCUGGUUGGUGAGGUAACGGCCCACCAAGGCGAUGAUGCAUAGCUGGUCUGAGAGGAUGAACAGCCACAUUGGGACUGAGACACGGCCCAAACUCCUACGGGAGGCAGCAGUGGGGAAUCUUCCGCAAUGGGCGCAAGCCUGACGGAGCAACGCCGCGUGAGUGAAGAAGGUUUUCGGAUCGUAAAGCUCUGUUGAGAGGGAUGAGAGAUAUAAUCAGGAAAUGGGUUAUAGAGGACGGUACCUUUCGAGGAAGCCACGGCUAACUACGUG
rnacentral:rRNA from 1 species